rnacentral:rRNA from 1 species
GAGGGAACUUUGAAAGAUUCCAUCCUGCAAGUGUCAAAAAGCAAAGAUUAAACCUUAUACCUUUUGCAUAAUGAUUUAGCCAGUCAAACUGGACAAAAAGAAUUAAAGCCCUUCUUCCCAAAAUUAAGUGAGCUAUUGUAGAACAGUUGUCAGAAUGAACUCAUCUAAUGAGAUGAUUUUACAGUAGGGGUCAAAUUAGCCUGUCAAAUUUAAUGAUAGCUGGUUGUCCAAAAAAAUGAAUUUAAGUUCAACUUUAAAUUUAACUCAAGUACUAACAAAUGUAACAAAUUUAAAUGCUACUCAAAAGGAGGACAACUCUUUUGACACAAACUUCCUUAGAGGAUAAUGAAAUACAACAACAUUGUAGGCCUAAAAGCAGCCACCAAUUAAGAGUUAAAGCUCAAACUCAUCUAUUAUUUAAUCCCCAAAAUCUAUCAAAAUCCCUACACUCAAUAUUGGACAAUUCUAUUACUAUUUAGAAGAUACAAUGCUAAUAUUAGUAACAUGAACAGAUUCUCUUUGCAUAAACAAACUCAGCUUGGAAUCACCACUACUACUUAACCAAACAAACGGUCAUACCCACACACUAGAGCUCUAUUUCAUAUAUUGUUAACGCAACUCUGGCGUGCAUUAAAAGGAAAGAUUAAAAGGAAUAAAAGGAACUUGGCAAACAAAAACCCCUCCUGUUUACCAAAAACAUCACCUCUAGCAUUUACCAGUAUUAGAGGCAUUGCCUCCCUGGUGAGUUAUAUAACUUGAAAGGCCACAGUAUCCUGACCAUGCAAAGGUAGCAUAAUCACUUGUCUCUUAAAUAGGGACUAGUAUGAAUGGCAUAAGGAGGGUUUAACUGUCUCUUACUCCCAAUCAGUGAAAUUGACCUUCUCGUGCAGAGGCGGGAAUACUUAUACAAGACGAGAAGACCCUGUGGAGCUUAAGACACAUAACUCAAUACAUACUCCCAUUUAACCUACUGGAACAAACUGUAUAAGCCACUGAGUUAUAGUCUUUGGUAGGAGGGACCUCGGAGCAUAAAACAACCUCCGAAUGAAAUAACCUAGAUUAACCUAUCUAAGCGUAUUAAUACCAGUAAUUGACCCAUCCCUUGAUCAACGGAACAAGUUACCCCAGGGAUAACAGCACAAUCCUAUUUGAGAGCCUAUAUCGAAAAUUAGGGUUUACGACCUCGAUGUUGGAUCAGAACAUCCAAAUGGUGCAACCGCUGUUAAAGGUUCGUUUGUUCAACGAUUAAAGUUCUACGGGAUCUGAGUUCAGACCGUAGAAAUCCAAGUCAGUUUCUAUCUGUAAGUUCAUUUCUCCCAG